rnacentral:rRNA from 1 species
UACAGAGGGUGCAAGCGUUGUUCGGAAUUAUUGGGCGUAAAGCGCGUGUAGGCGGCUUUGCAAGUCGGGUGUGAAAGCCCUCGGCUCAACUGAGGAAGUGCACCCGAAACUGGCGAGCUUGAGUACGAAAGAGGAUCGCGGAAUUCCCGGUGUAGAGGUGAAAAUUCGUAGAUAUCGGGAGGAACACCGGUGGCGAAGGCGGCGAUCUGGGUCGAUACUGACGCUGAGGUGACGAAAGCGGUGGGGAGCAAACAGGG